rnacentral:rRNA from 1 species
AUUGAACGCUGGCGGCAUGCCUUACACAUGCAAGUCGAACGGUAACGCGGGGCAACCUGGCGACGAGUGGCGAACGGGUGAGUAAUACAUCGGAACGUGCCCAGUAGUGGGGGAUAGCCCGGCGAAAGCCGGAUUAAUACCGCAUACGACCUACGGGUGAAAGCGGGGGAUCGCAAGACCUCGCGCUAUUGGAGCGGCCGAUGUCAGAUUAGCUAGUUGGUGGGGUAAAAGCCUACCAAGGCGACGAUCUGUAGCUGGUCUGAGAGGACGACCAGCCACACUGGGACUGAGACACGGACCAGACUCCUACGGGAGGCAGCAGUGGGGAAUAUUGGGCAAUGGAGGCAACUCUGACCCAGCCAUGCCGCGUGCAGGAAGACGGCCCUCUGGGUUGUAAACUGCUUUUGAAUGGGAAGAAUGUGAUGUUUGCGAGCAUUAAUGACGGUACCAUUAGAAUAAGCCACGGCUAACUACGUGCCAGCCGCCGCCGUAAGAC